GGAAGUGUGUGUGCAGGAGAGGAAUCGAGUAGAGAGAGCUGCUUUUUCAUGAAACGGGAGUAAAGUAGUGAACUUACAGGAACAUAUACCACUACCAACGUUUGGAUCGAUAUCUGCAUCGAUCUGCACACCCUUGUCUCCUGGAUCGUAGCUGAGAUCAGCGUGAACCACGUGGGUCUCUGCUCCCUGAUCUGUUUCCUGUGUUUGGAAAGACUUCCAGCUUCAUCACGGAGUUUCUCUCGGUUUGUGGGCUCAUCUAAAGCUGAGUAACAAGAGUCUGGUGGGGCAGCAGAAGGACAAUUUCAUCCAUUUGGACUCAGCCACUACAGAGGAAAGAAUGACUUCAACACAAAAGGACCAACAUGGAGCGAGAAGUCAGCGCUCUCAGGAGGCCGACAAACCUCACAGAAGAAAGGGAGAGAAAACAUACAGCUGUGAUGAGUGUGGGAAGUCUUUUACCCGGGCUGGAGGCUUAAAAAGACACCAACUCAUCCACAGUGGAGUUAAAGCGUACAGCUGUGACUUGUGUGGAAAGUCUUUUACCUUGGCUCAAAGCCUAAAAACACACCAGCUCAUCCACAGUGGAGUUAAAUCAUACAGCUGUGACUUGUGUGGAAAGUCUUUUACCUUGGCUCAAAGCCUAAAAUCACACAAACUCAUCCACAGUGGAGUUAAACCUUACAGCUGUGACUUGUGUGGAAAGUCUUUUACCCUGGCUGGAGGCUUAAAAAACCACCAACUCAUCCACAGUGGAGUUAAACCUUACAGCUGUGACUUGUGUGGAAAGUCUUUUACCCAGGCUGGAAGCUUAAAAACACACCAACUCAUCCACAGUGGAGUUAAAGCACACACCUGUGACUUGUGUGGAAAGUCUUUUACCCGGGCUGGAGAAUUAAAAACACACAGACUCAUCCACAGUGAAUUUAAAGCGUACAACUGUGACUUGUGUGGAAAGUCUUUUACCCACGCUCAAAACUUUAAAACACACCAACUCAUCCACAGUGGAGUUAAAUCUUACAGCUGCAACUUGUGUGGAAAGUCUUUUACCCAUCGUAAAUGCUUAAAAGUACACCAUAUCAUCCACAGUGGAGUUAAAGCACACAGUUGUGAGUUGUGUGGUAAGACAUUUGCUCAAAAUUGCGACUUACAGAAGCAUCUAGUUACCCACUCUGGAAUUAAGGCGUACAGCUGCGACUUUUGUGGAAAAAGGUUCAGCGACAAACAGUACCGAAAUAUUCACCUACGGUUUCACACUGGAAAUGAUGUUUCCUGCUGUGAUCAGUGUGGGAAACUGUUUGCAACAGAUGCACAGUUACAACAACACAUGUUUAUCCACACUGAGGAGAGACCUUACAAAUGUGACCUGUGUGAGAAGACCUUUAAAUCUCCACAUCACCUGAAAAAACACCAACGGAUCCACACCAGAAAGUAACUCUACAAGUGCAGUUACUGUGAGGAUGUAUUGAUUUUUUAUCUUGUAAUUGUAACCUGAGUGUUUGGAACAAGUCUGAUCAGUAAACUUAUGGAAUUAUAUUGAAUUAUAUUGAAACUGUUUGGAAAAAUGAAGACUCAUUUUCGCUCAGUAACCUGAGUGUUGUAAACAGUAAAAUGUAAUUGGACGUUGGCAGGGAUGCUUUUUAUUUCAGGUGACGUUCAGGAUAAAAACGUUGAAGGAGUUCCCUGACUUACACUGUCUUUGUUUAGAAUCAGAGCGACACAGACGGAUCCAGUUCUUAACUCUGUGUUCACUGUGGUGGUGGGAAAGCGUUUCUCUGUGACCUUUGUAGAAUAACUUUCAAUCAUCAGCGGGACCAAAAAACCACAUCAACGUAGACACACUGGAGACAAAAUGAACUACUGCAAAGAAUGUGGGAGAGCCUUCCACACACCAAGUACAUUAAAAAUACAUGAACUCUUCCACAGUGGGGUCAAAAAGCACAUCUGUGACCAGUGUGGGUCAUGCUUCACCACUGGACAUGAGCUUAAAGAACAAGCAUAAGCGAAUCCACACAGGAGAGACACCAUACAACUGAGACACUGACAAAAGCUUCUCACAAUAAGAUCAUCGUAACAAACAUGAACGUACACACAUGGAAGUGAACUUCAGCUGUGACCAGUGUGACAAGAGCUUCAGGAAUCUCAGUUCAUACUCCGAACACAAACGAUCCCACACUGUAAAUAAACUGUUUCACUGUUACUGUUGUGGCGAAUGCACUUAGUCAAAAAAUGGAUCAGACAUCAGUUGCAGAAACGAUAGCCUUUAUAUAGGGCUUCAAAAAGGGAUGUACAACAAAUAAA